rnacentral:rRNA from 1 species
UGACCUCGGAUCAGGUAGGGAUACCCGCUGAACUUAAGCAUAUCAAUAAGCGGAGGAAAAGAAACCAACAGGGAUUGCCCUAGUAACGGCGAGUGAAGCGGCAACAGCUCAAAUUUGAAAUCUGGCGCAAGCCCGAGUUGUAAUUUGUAGAGGAUGCUUCAGGGCAGCGGCCGUUCUAAGUCUUUUGGAACAAGGCGUCACAGAGGGUGAGAAUCCCGUAUGCGACCGGCGCGCACCCGUCACGUAGCUCCUUC